UACGAAGGGUGCAAACGUUGCUCGGAAUCAUUGGGCGUAAAGCGCACGUAGGCGGCUUGCCAAGUCGGACGUGAAGUCCCUCAGCUCAACUGAGGACGUGCAUCCGAAACUGGCGAGCUUGAGUACUGAAGAGGAUCGCGGAAUUCCCGGUGUAGAGGUGAAAUCCGUAGAUAUUGGGAGGAACACCGGUGGCGAAGGCGGCUCUCUGGACCGAUACUGACGCUGAGACGCGAAAGCGUGGGUAGCAAACAGG
rnacentral:rRNA from 1 species